rnacentral:rRNA from 1 species
AGCGAACGCUGGCGGCAGGCCUAACACAUGCAAGUCGAACGAACUCUUCGGAGUUAGUGGCGGACGGGUGAGUAACACGUGGGAACGUGCCUUUUGGUUCGGAAUAACUCAGGGAAACUUGUGCUAAUACCGAAUGUGCCCUUCGGGGGAAAGAUUUAUCGCCAUUAGAGCGGCCCGCGUCUGAUUAGCUAGUUGGUGAGGUAACGGCUCACCAAGGCGACGAUCAGUAGCUGGUCUGAGAGGAUGACCAGCAACACUGGGACUGAGACACGGCCCAGACUCCUACGGGAGGCAGCAGUGGGGAACCUUGCGCAAUGGGCGAAAGCCUGACGCAGCCAUGCCGCGUGAAUGAUGAAGGUCUUAGGAUUGUAAAAUUCUUUCACCGGGGACGAUAAUGACGGUACCCGGAGAAGAAGCCCCGGCUAACUUCGUG